UGGGGAAUAUUGGGCAAUGGGGGCAACCCUGACCCAGCGACGCCGCGUGGGGGAAGACGGCCUUCGGGUUGUAAACCUCUUUUGUACGGGAAGAAGGGAGUGACGGUACUGUACGAAUAAGUCCCGGCUAACUACGUGCCAGCAGCCGCGGUAAUACGUAGGGGACGAGCGUUGUCCGGAAUUACUGGGCGUAAAGGGCGCGCAGGCUGUGCAGCAAGUCAGCUGUUAAAUGUCUGGGCUUAACCCGGGCAUGCGGUUGAGACUGCAGUGCUGGAGUGCUGUAGAGGCAAGUGGAAUUCCCAGUGUAGCGGUGAAAUGCGUAGAUAUUGGGAAGAACACCGGUGGCGAAGGCGACUUGCUGGGCAGCAACUGACGCUGAGGCGCGAAAGCCAGGGGAGCAAACGG
rnacentral:rRNA from 1 species